GCUGGCGGCGUGCUUAAGACAUGCAAGUCGUGCGAGAAAGUCGCCUUCGGGUGGCGAGUAAAGCGGCGAACGGGUGAGUAACGCGUGGGUAAUCUACCCAAGGGUCCGGGAUAACGUCGGGAAACUGGCGCUAAUACCGGAUGAGACCACGGUGUCCUCGGACACAGUGGGAAAAGAUGGCCUCUCCUUGGAAGCUAUCGCCCCUGGAUGAGCCCGCGUCCCAUUAGCUUGUUGGUGGGGUAACGGCCUACCAAGGCUUCGAUGGGUAGCUGGUCUGAGAGGAUGAUCAGCCACACUGGAACUGAGACACGGUCCAGACUCCUACGGGAGGCAGCAGUCGGGAAUUUUGGGCAAUGGGGGAAACCCUGACCCAGCAACGCCGCGUGUGGGAUGAAGGCCUUCGGGUCGUAAACCACUGUCGGGAGGGAAGAAAGGCAUCAGUUCGAAUAGGUCUGGUGUUUGACGGUACCUCCAAAGGAAGCACCGGCUAACUCCGUGCCAGCAGCCGCGGUAAUACGGAGGGUGCGAGCGUUGUUCGGAAUCAUUGGGCGUAAAGCGGGUGUAGGCGG
rnacentral:rRNA from 1 species